rnacentral:tRNA from 5 species
GCGGGUGUAGUUUAAUGGUAGAACAACAGACUUCCACUCUGUUAGCGGGGGUUCGAUUCCCCCUACCCGCUC